UGGAAUACUUGGGCUAGUAUUCCAAAGGUCGUAGGUUCGAAUCCCACCGUGGCCGGGCAUAUUUUUCAAGCUCGCCCGGUGUGGAUAUAGACUCAGAGUAACACCACAAAUAUCAUAUUCACCUGAGUACACUACACCAACACAGAAAAAAAUUCAUAUUACUAGAAUACAUUGGUAUCGAAGGAACUAGAUUCUGUUCCGAAAUAUCACUUACUCGAACCGUCCUGACCGCGUAGCUCAGUUGGAAGAGCAUUGGGCUAGUAUUCCAAAGGUCGUAGGUUCGAAUCCCACCGUGGCCGGGCAUAUUUUUCAAGCUCGCCCGGUGUGGAUAUACACUCAGAGUAACACCACAAAUAUCAUAUUCACCUGAGUACACUAAACCAACACAGAAAAAAAA